GCCCGGGUGGCGAAAUUGGUAGACGCAUGGGACUUAAAAUCCCUUGUCCUUCGGGGCGUGCGGGUUCGAGUCCCGCCCCGGGCACCA
rnacentral:tRNA from 3 species